GGAGAGGAAACGAUCCUGGUGGGUCGGCCGGGCUUCAAACCCGGUGGGUGGCGCCAUGCGUUGCUGGGAGGGUUCGACUCCCUCUCCUCUCCGCCA
rnacentral:tRNA from 1 species